UCCAGGAAGCUUCGGAGCACGAUUGCGAGCGAUCGAUCAGGUGUUCGGAGAACGUCGACACCGUGCUUCACCGGAACACGCGAUCGCGUAGAUUCGAUUAUCUUUUCCCGUCGAGUCGUGCUCGGCUUUAACGAGCACCGAAACAACGGAUUCCCGAGGCUCUCGGGAAAACCGUUCACCUUUAACCCUGCGCCGCGUACUGGGUCAUUCGUGUCGCUCCAAAUUUCAAUUCACCUGCAUGGUCCGACACGGAUACAGUGUUUGGACCGUUUCGAUGCUCGAUGCAACGUUAAAAGAAAAAAGAAAAAAAAGACGGCUAAUUUGAAUGUCGCGUCGUAAUCACCGUGACUCACGUAUGUAUACUUAUUCACACAGUGGUUCAUAUUCUGCUGCCGUCAUCUUUCCGUGAAACGAGAAUCGGAAACGCACUGAGGAGAGGCAGCCUUGACGACGUGAAAAUGCAAGAGCUGUUCGAAUUUAUAAAAACGCGUUUUCUUCGCGUUCGCCGCAACUGCGGCAAACUUUCGAAUCUCGGACACCGAAAGGGUUAGCGGAGUCAAACCUGGGAUCUGCGAUCGCUUCCUCGACCCUUCCGGACGAUCCUAAAUGAUCGGAACGAUCUGCUUCCAGCUCGGAAGCAGACUUUUUUGACCUUCGACGGAUCGAAACCGUCGCGGCAGGAACGGACGCGACGAGGCGCGUGCGACGAAUCUCCGAUGGAAGAUCUUCGGCGGUCGAUCUUCGGAUCGGUCCGCGGGCACAGAAACUUCUCGAAACCGCGUGUCGAGGGAACACCGAAAUAAAAAGAUCUCACGAUCCACACUCACGUCUACGGAGCAGAUGUUCGUGCUGUCCGUGCGCGGCGACGACUGCAGUGCGCGCGACGAGGCAGAGGCAGAGGCAAAGCCAGGGGCCGAUCGACGGCGCAGCAGUGGCGAGACGAUCCACGAAGCCGGCCAUCUCCGCUCGAUGCCAGCCCUUGCCGGCCUUCUUCCCUUGCACACCGACGACGACGACGAGGACGACGACGACCAGUCCGCCUCUCUUCCUUCGACAAUUCCUACGCCGCUCGCUUCCGUCGAGACGCGCCGCGCGAAAUCCGCUCGAUCCUCUCCGACGAUCCAGCCUGCGACUGGAACACCUCGCGCCUCGAGAAGCUUAUCUAAUCUCGCGGAUGAUAAGUCCGCCGCCACGGUACACGUGAACGACUCAUUUAUUGUCUUAGCCGCGGCGAUCCGCUUGGAAAUCGAGGCCGAACCGCGACGAGUCACCGAACAGCUAUGGAUCUGUGAUUAAUCGACGAACGGAGCGCGCGCGCGUGCCGCCCGGCGGGGCGAAGUCGCGACGAGGUGUUGAAAUCGAGGAACUUUGGAUCGAGGCGAGAUAAAGCGGUGAUUUCGAUGCUGAAAAAUGUUGCGGAAUCCAGGGGAAAAUGGGGAGGACAUGGUGUUGACAGUUUUUAACGCGUUCAGCGCCACGUGUAACACCGGUGCGACGUGCUUACGUGUUUGUAGUUUGUAGCGAAAUUAUGAAAUGGAAUAAUAGGAUUGAUAUAAUAUAAUGGAUACGCGUUAAUUGUGUGUUAUUGUAUUCUUCAGUUCUAAGUUUGGUUCUUGACGAGUUCCGCGCCACGUGUACUAGCAAUGGGAUGUGCUCACGUGCUUGUAAUUUGUAGGAAAAUAAUAAAAUAUAAUAAUAGGAUUAAUAUAUUAUAAUAUAUACAUAUUAAUUGUA